GUUUGAUCAUGGCUCAGGAUGAACGCUAACUACAGGCUUAACACAUGCAAGUCGAGGGGCAGCAUUUCAGUUUGCUUGCAAACUGGAGAUGGCGACCGGCGCACGGGUGAGUAACACGUAUCCAACCUGCCGAUAACUCGGGGAUAGCCUUUCGAAAGAAAGAUUAAUACCCGAUGGUAUAAUUAGACCGCAUGGUCUUGUUAUUAAAGAAUUUCGGUUAUCGAUGGGGAUGCGUUCCAUUAGGCAGUUGGUGAGGUAACGGCUCACCAAACCUUCGAUGGAUAGGGGUUCUGAGAGGAAGGUCCCCCACAUUGGAACUGAGACACGGUCCAAACUCCUACGGGAGGCAGCAGUGAGGAAUAUUGGUCAAUGGACGGGAGUCUGAACCAGCCAAGUAGCGUGAAGGAUGACUGCCCUAUGGGUUGUAAACUUCUUUUAUAUGGGAAUAAAGUUUUCCACGUGUGGAAUUUUGUAUGUACCAUAUGAAUAAGGAUCGGCUAACUCCGUGCCAGCAGCCGCGGUAAUACGGAGGAUCCGAGCGUUAUCCGGAUUUAUUGGGUUUAAAGGGAGCGUAGGUGGACAGUUAAGUCAGUUGUGAAAGUUUGCGGCUCAACCGUAAAAUUGCAGUUGAUACUGGCUGUCUGAGUACAGU
rnacentral:rRNA from 1 species